AUGGUAUGUGCCAGCCGCCGCGGUAAUACGGAAGGUCCGGGCGUUAUCCGGAUUUAUUGGGUUUAAAGGGAGCGUAGGCCGGAGAUUAAGCGUGUUGUGAAAUGUAGACGCUCAACGUCUGCACUGCAGCGCGAACUGGUUUCCUUGAGUACGCACAAAGUGGGCGGAAUUCGUGGUGUAGCGGUGAAAUGCUUAGAUAUCACGAAGAACUCCGAUUGCGAAGGCAGCUCACUGGAGCGCAACUGACGCUGAAGCUCGAAAGUGCGGGUAUCGAACAGG
rnacentral:rRNA from 1 species